ACCGAAUCGGAAAAUAACGCUCGAAUCCGCUUCCCUCAGUUCAGUUUGCGAACGCGUAGAGACAGCUGCGCGCCGAUCGCUCGAAUCGACCAUAAGUGCCUAAAAGGGAUGUGCCUUCAGUGUUAGUGCAGUGUCUUAUAGUUGUACAAGUGUCGUAGUGACUAUAGUGUUCUCUUUUUUGUGUGGAUCCAAGAAAAAAUACCGCAACACUAUGGAGUUAAGGAGGAUAGCUCUGCUUCUGGCGUUCUUCGUGGUGGCUGUCUGCUCGCAAUGCUCAGGUAUGGAUGAGUUUGGCAAACAUUCAACACAGAUGCACGAUGA